UACGUAGGCAGCAAGCGUUGUUCGGAGUUACUGGGCGUAAAGAGUGUGUAGGCGGUGCUCCAAGUCUGGUGUGAAAUCUCCCGGCUCAACUGGGAGGGUGCGCUAGAAACUGGAAUGCUAGAGGAUGGGAGAGGUAAGCGGAAUUCCUGGUGUAGCGGUGAAAUGCGUAGAUAUCAGGAGGAACACCUGUGGUGUAGACAGCUUGCUGGACCAUUUCUGACGCUGAGACACGAAAGCGUGGGUAGCAAACAGG
rnacentral:rRNA from 1 species